UUAGGAAAUUGCACUGAAAACACUCCCCCUAGCAUCUACCGGACAAAUCACGUCAAGAGUUGCUCAGCAGGGUGUUGCACCAAAACCUUAAGCUAAUUACACCAUGUUGGGAACAAAUCAAUCAUGACAGACAAGGACAACAAACAACACAAACACAAUCCAGAAUCGCCAAUGAAUCACUAUCAACAUGCGAUGCACUUAAAAACAAGCAAGAAGACAAGAUAAGGGGACCAUUCGCCCCAACACAAGAAAGCCCAAGAACACAACAGGAAAACACCCACAGGAUUUACAAAUACCAACAAACACCCCCCCCCACGCUUAAAAUCUGGCACUGUCCUCAGUGCAAACAAAAAGAGGGGUGAAAGAGGAAACUUCCCUAAAUACCGAUCCCGUGGUGAGUCUGUAGUGUCCCACCAUGUCUGCCUCUCUCUCAUCCAUAACAAGCAGUCUCCAACGUAACAACCUGCACCAAACAACAGAAACAACAAAACACAACAUAAACAAAACGAAAGAAAAAAAAACGAAACAAGGAAAAGCAAGAAAACAUGGGUUGCCUCCCAUGCAGCGCUAGUUUUUAAGUCGCCAGCCCGACUAAGAGAACCCCUUAACCAAAAUCCGAUUGAAGCUCCAGCUGCCUUAGCGCCC
rnacentral:lncRNA from 1 species